rnacentral:rRNA from 1 species
GACGAACGCUGGCGGCGCGCCUAACACAUGCAAGUCGAACGAGCGAGAGAGAGCUUGCUUUCUCAAGCGAGUGGCGAACGGGUGAGUAACGCGUGAGGAACCUGCCUCAAAGAGGGGGACAACAGUUGGAAACGACUGCUAAUACCGCAUAAGCCCACGGCUCGGCAUCGAGCAGAGGGAAAAGGAGCAAUCCGCUUUGAGAUGGCCUCGCGUCCGAUUAGCUAGUUGGUGAGGUAAUGGCCCACCAAGGCGACGAUCGGUAGCCGGACUGAGAGGUUGAACGGCCACAUUGGGACUGAGACACGGCCCAGACUCCUACGGGAGGCAGCAGUGGGGAAUAUUGCACAAUGGGGGAAACCCUGAUGCAGCGACGCCGCGUGGAGGAAGAAGGUCUUCGGAUUGUAAACUCCUGUUGUUGGGGAAGAUAAUGACGGUACCCAACAAGGAAGUGACGGCUAACUACGUG